CAGGCCUAACACAUGCAAGUCGAACGAAGGCUUCGGCCUUAGUGGCGCACGGGUGCGUAACGCGUGGGAAUCUGCCCCUCGGUUCGGAAUAACAGUUAGAAAUGACUGCUAAUACCGGAUGAUGACGUAAGUCCAAAGAUUUAUCGCCGAGGGAUGAGCCCACGUAGGAUUAGCUAGUUGGUGUGGUAAAGGCGCACCAAGGCGACGAUCCUUAGCUGGUCUGAGAGGAUGAUCAGCCACACUGGGACUGAGACACGGCCCAGACUCCUACGGGAGGCAGCAGUGGGGAAUAUUGGACAAUGGGCGAAAGCCUGAUCCAGCAAUGCCGCGUGAGUGAUGAAGGCCUUAGGGUUGUAAAGCUCUUUUACCCGGGAUGAUAAUGACAGUACCGGGAGAAUAAGCCCCGGCUAACUCCGUGCCAGCAGCCGCGGUAAU
rnacentral:rRNA from 1 species